GUCGUACGGUUUUGAGUGAUAUAACUUGUACACACUGGGACCAUCGCUGGACUUCAGGAUCUUCCUCCGUUCAGCUCAAGGUGAGGCGCUGGUUAUGUUUUUUCUUUGGUUGGUUCCGGCCGGAAUGUUCGGAUUCCAGUCGGACGUUUUGUGCUUCCCGCCGUGGAAGGUUCUGAGUGCGGUCACUUGAUUUAGUCCCAAUGGUUAGCAUAGAACGUUGUAGUCUUGACAACCAUAAGAAACCACCUGGCAGUUAGUUGGAUGGGAGUCCCCUGAGGGAAUCUGGCAGAACGUUCUGGAUUGUAUUAGCGUAACCUCGAGCCGUUGCCAACGGAAACAAUUUUUCAGUCGUAUCCAUUGGGAAUUGUUGCCCCUUAUCUUAAACAGCUUAAGUUUAAUAUUAAAUACAUACUGACACGUACGUCGUACAAUAUGUUGAUCAUUUCCGAUGGUUGCGCCGUACUUUUAACCACGAUGACGUGACGGGACUCUCGCUGCGUACAAAUCGGCGUUCUACUUGCGGGCCCAUUUUUGACAUCAGUGACGGCUGAAAAUCAUUUCAAGGUGGCAUUUCAACGGAACCCAGCACCUGAAUAUGGCUGAGUAUAUUUGAUUUAAUAUCGAUACUGCUUAGUGUUCUUUAUUACUUCAGCUUUUGUACGUUCUAAAUAUCUGCUGUCAUUAAUUGCCACAGAAGUUAAACCCUACUAAAUGGAAUGACGUUAAACAACGACUUUGGUGCAGAGUUACCAACUGGAUAAUAUCAAAGCUAAAAUAAUGGCCGUCCUUCCCACAUGUUACAGUAGAUGAUACUCUAGAACUGUACAAGGUUAAAAAAGUAACAUGUAGUUUGUCCCAAGGUGUCUGCCUCCUCACCCAGAGCAAGACCUCCACCUCCUCACCCAGAGCCAGACCUCCACCUCCUGUCAGAAGUCCUCCAGAACAGUGCUCUGGUGUCUGAAAGGCGAGGCUGAGAGGCUGGGGACCGGAGGCUUGUGGUGCCAGGAUGGACCGGAGACUGAGGCUGGAGACCAGGGGCCUGCAGCACCGGACCAGAGGACCAGGAAUCUAUGUCUGGGGGAGCCGUGCUGAUGGAGGAGCCGUGCUGAUGGAGGAGCCGAGCUGAUGGAGGAGCCAUGCUGAUGGAGGAGCUGGUGGAGGCCCUGCCUGGUGAAGGACGUCUGUCGUGGGGAAUCUGAGGAGAGCUGCUGGAGGAGCCGAGACGCUGGAGGACGACUAGGAAUCGACCAACAAGGAUUCCUCAACGUGUUUCUGGAGCGGAGGCGAGCUGGUAGGGUAGCCGUGAAUCUGGAGGAUGACCAUCACUCUACCAACAAGGAUUACGUUAGUGCCAGACUCGCGCUGUUUGUUCCAGACCAGGACUCUGGCUGAGGAGAGCUGAUGGAGGAGCAAAGACUCUGGAGGACGACAUCACUCUACCAACCAGGAUCCUUACGAGGGAUCUGGAGGACUGAUGGAGAAGCCGUACAUCAGGAAGGCAAAUCCUGAGGACAACCAGGACUCUACCAUCAAGGAUUCCUCACACAUCUGAGCUGAACCUCACCUGAUCCUGUUUGGUCGGGGGAAGGCACACCUGAGCUGAACCCGCCCUGAUCCUGACAUCCUGCUGGUCCCGUCUCCUCAGUUCAUCUGAGCCUUGUCCUCCAGAAGACCUGCUGAGCUCAGCAGUCUGAGGCUGAUGGAUCAAUGACCUCCAGUGGGAGUGAUCUUCUUGACCCCACAUGUAACCGUGUGCUUCCACACGCCUUUCCCGCAUGUCUGUCACUAACCUCACUACUUCACUACUCUCUACUGCUUCCUCUUCUUCUUCCUUCUCUGUGGUUCGAACCUUUACACGGAAGGCGCGUCUUCCUGCCCUCAGAGGGUUCAGCGUUAGGGUUGAGAGUCAGGGUUUAGAGUCAGGGACAGAGCUGGUCAGGGAGGACUGCUUUUACACAAACCUCUUCACUUCCUUUCGGAAUGGUGGUGACAUUUUGGAAAGAUUCAUUUUGGAAAAUGUUUUCCUCUGCCUUCCUUUACAAAAUUGUAUUAAACUUCUGUCAAGUGUUUCUGUUUAUAUAUUAAAAUCCCAACUUGACUUCUGCAUGUUUAGUGUGGUUCAUUUAAUUGUCCUUUAACUUGGUUAAUGUCAAGCUAAACUCCUGCAAUACAUUUAAUAUACAUGAUUGUUAUUCAGCAAUGUUCACAUAAUCCAUUUGUAAAAAUAUUAAACCUCCAUAUUGCUACAAAAUUCAAGCCUAUU